rnacentral:tRNA from 1 species
UGGGGAUUGGUGUAACGGUAGCACGACUGGCUCUGAACCAGUUAGUCAUGGUUCGAAUCCAUGAUCCCCAA